GAUGAACGCUGGCGGCGUGCCUAAUACAUGCAAGUCGAGCGAACAGACGAGGAGCUUGCUCCUCUGACGUUAGCGGAGGACGGGUGAGUAACACGUGGAUAACCUACCUAUAAGACUGGGAUAACUUCGGGAAACCGGAGCUAAUCCCGGAUAAUAUAUUGAACCGCAUGGUUCAAUAGUGAAAGACGGUUUUGCUGUCACUUAUAGAUGGAUCCGCGCCGCAUUAGCUAGUUGGUAAGGUAACGGCUUACCAAGGCAACGAUGCGUAGCCGACCUGAGAGGGGGGUCGCCCACCCUGGAGCUGGGACACGGUCCAGACUCCUACGGUAGGCAGCAGUAUGGAAUCUGCCGCAAUGGGCGAAAGCCUGACGGAGCGACGCCGCGUGAGUGAUGAAGGUCUUCGGAUCGUAAAACUCUGUUAUUAGUUAAGAACAAAUGUGUAAGUAACUAUGCACGUCUUGACGGUACCUAAUCAGAAAGCCACGGCUAACUACGUG
rnacentral:rRNA from 1 species